UCUAAUAUGGCAGAAAAGUGUGAUGGAUUUAAGCUCCAUAUAUAAAAUUUAUAUUUUUAUUAGAA
rnacentral:tRNA from 1 species